GUUCGCCCACCAUGGCGUCCGUGGGGACCCUCACUUUCAAUGAGUAUGGGCGCCCCUUUCUCAUUAUCAAGGACCAAGAUCGCAAGUCCCGUCUCAUGGGGCUUGAGGCCCUCAAGUCUCACAUCAUGGCCGCCAAAGCUGUAGCAAACACAAUGCGGACAUCACUGGGACCAAACGGGCUGGACAAGAUGAUGGUUGAUAAGGAUGGCGAUGUGACUGUAACAAACGAUGGUGCCACCAUUCUAAGCAUGAUGGAUGUCGAUCAUCAGAUUGCCAUGCUGAUGGUUGAGCUGUCCAAAUCCCAGGAUGAUGAAAUUGGAGAUGGGACCACAGGAGUGGUUGUCUUGGCUGGUGCCUUGUUGGAAGAAGCUGAGCAACUGCUGGACUGAGGCAUCCACCCAAUCAGAAUUGCUGAUGGUUACGAACAGGCUGCCCGAAUUGCUAUACAGCACCUGGACAAGAUCAGUGAUAAAGUGCUUGUUGACAUAAACAACCCUGAACCUCUGAUUCAGACUGCAAAAACCACACUGGGCUCCAAAGUGGUUAACAGCUGUCAUCGACAAAUGGCUGAGAUUGCUGUGAAUGCUGUCCUCACAGUGGCAGAUAUGGAGCGGAGAGAUGUUGACUUUGAGCUCAUCAAAGUGGAAGGCAAAGUAGGUGGCUGGCUGGAAGACACCAAACUCAUAAAGGGUGUGAUCGUUGAUAAGGACUUCAGUCACCCACAGAUGCCGAAAAAAGUGGUCAAUGCUAAGAUUGCGAUUCUCACGUGUCCAUUUGAGCCACCUAAACCAAAGACAAAGCACAAGCUGGAUGUCACGUCUGUGGAGGACUACAAAGCCCUGCAGAAGUAUGAAAAGGAGAAGUUUGAAGAGAUGAUUAAACAGAUCAAAGAAACUGGUGCUAACCUAGCUAUUUGCCAGUGGGGCUUUGAUGAUGAAGCCAAUCAUUUACUUCUUCAGAAUGACCUGCCUGCAGUUUGCUGGGUAGGAGGACCUGAGAUUGAGCUGAUCGCCAUUGCAUCAGGAGGACAGAUUGUCCCAGGGUUCUCAGAGCUUACCUCUGAGAAGCUGGGAUUUGCUGGUGUAGUGCAGGAGAUCUCGUUUGGCACUACAAAAGACAAAAUGCUGGUUAUCGAGAAGUGUAAGGACUCCAGAGCUGUGACCAUUUUUAUUAGAGGAGGAAACAAGAUGAUCAUUGAAGAAGCAAAAUGAUCCCUCCAUGAUGCCUUGUGUGUCAUCCGGAACCUCAUCCAUGACAACCGUGUUGUGUAUGGAGGAGGGGCAGCCGAAAUAUCCUGCGCCCUGGCAGUCAGCCAAAAGGCAGACAAGUGCCCAACUUUGGAACAGUAUGCCAUGAGAGCUUUUGCAGACGCCUUGGAGGUCAUCCCCAUGGCCCUUUCAGAAAAUAGUGGCAUGAAUCCUAUCCAGACCAUGACUGAAGUUCGAGCCAGACAAGUGAAGGAGUCUAACCCUGCCCUUGGGAUUGACUGUUUGCACAAGGGCAGUAACGAUAUGCAGUAUCAGCAUGUCAUAGAAACCUUGAUUGGCAAAAAGCAGCAGAUCUCUCUUGCCACACAGAUGGUUAGGAUGAUUCUGAAGAUUGAUGACAUCCGUAAGCCUGGAGAAUCUGAAGAAUGAACUGUACCAUUUACCACUGUGACUAAAUAAAGGGUGUGUCUGUCAAAAAAAAAA